rnacentral:rRNA from 1 species
UACGGAAGGCAGCAGUGGGGAAUAUUGCACAAUGGGCGCAAGCCUGAUGCAGCCAUGCCGCGUGUAUGAAGAAGGCCUUCGGGUUGUAAAGUACUUUCAGUCGUGAGGAAGGUGUUAAGGUUAAUAACCUUAGUAAUUGACGUUAGCGACAGAAGAAGCACCGGCUAACUCCGUGCCAGCAGCCGCGGUAAUACGGAGGGUGCGAGCGUUAAUCGGAAUUACUGGGCGUAAAGGGCACGCAGGCGGUUAAUUAAGUUGGAUGUGAAAUCCCCGGGCUUAACCUGGGAAUGGCAUUCAAGACUGGUUAGCUAGAGUCUUGUAGAGGGGGUAGAAUUCCAUGUGUAGCGGUGAAAUGCGUAGAGAUGUGGAGGAAUACCGGUGGCGAAGGCGGCCCCUGGACAAAGACUGACGCUCAUGUGCGAAAGCGUGGGGAGCAAACAGGGAUUAGAUACCCGU